CCAGUGACAGGUGCGUGCAUGGCGUGUCCUCAGCUCGUGUCGUGAGAUGUUGGGUUAAGUCCCGCAACGAGCGCAACCCUUGCCUUUAUUUGCCAACAUUAAGUUGGGCACUCUAGAGAGACUGCCAGGGAUAACCUGGAGGAAGGUGGGGAUGACGUCAAAUCAUCAUGCCCCUUAUGCUUAGGGCUACACACGUGCUACAAUGGAUGGUACAAAGGGUCGCCAUCCCGUGAGGGGGAGCUAAUCCCUUAAACCCUUUUUCAUUUCGAAUUGUAUGCUCAACCCGCCUUACUUAAAUUUGAAUUUCCAAUUAACGCCAAAUAAAAAGGC
rnacentral:rRNA from 1 species